rnacentral:rRNA from 1 species
GCUACGGGUGGCAGCAGUGGGGAAUAUUGGGCAAUGGAGGAAACUCUGACCCAGCAACGCCGCGUGAAUGAUGAAGGUCUUCGGAUUGUAAAGUUCUUUUCUGGGGGACGAACAAAUGACGGUACCCCAGGAAUAAGCCACGGCUAACUACGUGCCAGCAGACGCGGUAAUACGUAGGUGGCAAGCGUUAUCCGGAUUUAUUGGGUGUAAAGGGCGUGUAGGCGGGAAUGCAAGUCAGAUGUGAAAACUCAGGGCUCAACCCUGAGCCUGCAUUUGAAACUGUGUUUCUUGAGUGAUGGAGAGGCAAUCGGAAUUCCGUGUGUAGCGGUGAAAUGCGUAGAUAUACGGAGGAACACCAGUGGCGAAGGCGGAUUGCUGGACAGUAACUGACGCUGAGGCGCGAAAGCGUGGGGAGCAAACAGGAUUAGAUACCCUUGUAGUC